AGAGUUUGAUCAUGGCUCAGAACGAACGCUGGCGGCAUGCCUAACACAUGCAAGUCGAACGCCUGUAGCAAUACAGGAGUGGCGCACGGGUGAGUAACGCGUGGGAACCUGCCCUGGAGUGGGGGAUAACCGAGAGAAAUUUCGGCUAAUACCGCAUACGGCCUGAGGGUGAAAGAUUUAUCGCUCUAGGAGGGGCCCGCGUCGGAUUAGCUAGUUGGUGGGGUAAUGGCCUACCAAGGCAACGAUCCGUAGCUGGUCUGAGAGGAUGAUCAGCCACACUGGGACUGAGACACGGCCCAGACUCCUACGGGAGGCAGCAGUGGGGAAUAUUGGACAAUGGGGGCAACCCUGAUCCAGCAAUGCCGCGUGAGUGAUGAAGGCCUUAGGGUUGUAAAGCUCUUUCGGCGGGGACGAUGAUGACGGUACCCGCAGAAGAAGCCCCGGCUAACUUCGUGCCAGCAGCCGCGGUAAUAC
rnacentral:rRNA from 1 species